rnacentral:antisense_RNA from 1 species
AACGAAGCACCAGUGCUGGGGAGCUCUCUGAAUGUCAUCACCAGCAAGAGCAAGAAGUAUUGGCAGCAGCAGGCAGCCAGGCAGGCUGGGAGUUUGCAUGGAAAUCAUGAAGUCUUUCUUGUCUUCCUCUUUUGAAAUAUUUUGGAAGGCGAGUUAAGAAUAGCUCAGAAACUGGUCUCAUUCUUUUUGUGGGAAGAAUGACCAGAAGCAUAAAAGCUAAGUCUUCCAGCAAGUGCAAGACACCUCUUUCGGUGUUUGCAGUAAACCUAACAAGAAUGAAUUGCUAUCAGUAAAGUCCUGUACCAUGACACCUAAAAGGAAGGAAAUGGUAAAGCAAAGUAAUAACUCAAAGACAGUCACCGAGGGCUUUUGUCCACCUUUAACUCAUUGUGGAACUUGACAUCAUCAGACAGUAAAUCAAGAGGUACUGACAACUGAGACUGAGUGAUGGUCCCUGCCUAGGAUUUGGAAUCUUUGCAUGAAAUAGGGACUCUAGCCACCAGUGACAAAGAAGUCAGGGAGACUGCGGUCUCUAGGAAGCACUUCCAGG